rnacentral:rRNA from 1 species
GACGAACGCUGGCGGCGUGCUUAACACAUGCAAGUCGAACGGAAAGGCCCUGCUUUUGUGGGGUGCUCGAGUGGCGAACGGGUGAGUAACACGUGAGUAACCUGCCCUUGACUUUGGGAUAACUUCAGGAAACUGGGGCUAAUACCGGAUAGGAGCUCCUGCUGCAUGGUGGGGGUUGGAAAGUUUCGGCGGUUGGGGAUGGACUCGCGGCUUAUCAGCUUGUUGGUGGGGUAGUGGCUUACCAAGGCUUUGACGGGUAGCCGGCCUGAGAGGGUGACCGGCCACAUUGGACUGAGAUACGGCCCAGACUCCUACGGGAGGCAGCAGUGGGGAAUAUUGCACAAUGGGCGGAAGCCUGAUGCAGCACCGCCGCGUGCGGGAUGACGGCCUUCGGGUUGUAAACCGCUUUCGCCUGUGACGAAGCGUGAGUGACGGUAAUGGGUAAAGAAGCACCGGCUAACUACGUG